AAAUCAGUACGCUGGUCGUGCCUCUGGUAUGCACUGGUGUUACUGAUUUCUCCCUUCUGAAGAACUAUCAUGCCAUUAAUUUGGUGUGGUAGGGAAUCAGGACUGUUACUUUGAAAAAAUUAGAGUGCUCAAAGCAGGCUAGCGCCUGAAUACAUUAGCAUGGAAUAAUAAAAUAGGACGGCAUGGUUCUAUUUUGUUGGUUUCUAGGAUCACCGUA
rnacentral:rRNA from 1 species